rnacentral:rRNA from 1 species
UACGAAGGGGGCUAGCGUUGCUCGGAAUCACUGGGCGUAAAGGGCGCGUAGGCGGCCGAUUAAGUCGGGGGUGAAAGCCUGUGGCUCAACCACAGAAUUGCCUCGAUACUGGUUGGCUUGAGACCGGAAGAGGACAGCGGAACUGCGAGUGUAGAGGUGAAAUUCGAUAGAUAUUCGCAAGAACACCAGUGGCGAAGGCGGCUGUCUGGUCCGGUUCUGACGCUGAGGCGCGAAAAGCGUGGGGGAGCAAACAGG